rnacentral:rRNA from 1 species
CAGCCGCCACGGUAAUACGUAGGUGGCAAGCGUUGUCCGGAAUUAUUGGGCGUAAAGGGCUCGCAGGCGGUUUCUUAAGUCUGAUGUGAAAGCCCCCAGCUCAACCGGGGAGGGUCAUUGGAAACUGGGAAACUUGAGUGCAGAAGAGGAGAGUGGAAUUCCACGUGUAGCGGUGAAGUGCGUAGAGAUGUGGAGGAACACCAGUGGCGAAGGCGACUCUCUGGUCUGUAACUGACGCUGAGGAGCGAAAGCGUGGGGAGCGAACAGGAUUAGAUACCCCCGUAGUCCCUGUCUCUUAUAU